UCGGGAAUUUUGGGCAAUGGGCGAAAGCCUGACCCAGCAACGCCGCGUGGGGGAUGAAGUAUUUCGGUAUGUAAACCUCGAAAGAAUGGGAAGAAUAAAUGACGGUACCAUUUAUAAGCUCCGGCUAACUACGUGCCAGCAGCCGCGGUAAUACGUAGGGAGCAAGCGUUGUUCGGAUUUACUGGGCGUAAAGGGCGCGUAGGCGGCGCGGUAAGUCACUUGUGAAAUCUCUGAGCUUAACUCAGAACGGCCAAGUGAUACUGCUGUGCUAGAGUGCGGAAGAGGCAACCGGAAUUCUUGGUGUAGCGGUGAAAUGCGUAGAUAUCAAGAGGAACACCUGAGGCGAAGGCGGGUUGCUGGGCCGACACUGACGCUGAUGCGCGAAAGCCAGGGGAGCAAACG
rnacentral:rRNA from 1 species